GCAAGAUCUGCGUGAGGGGCUGCAUGGUUUUCCGCCACUGUAGCGUAGCCCUGCUGAGGUCUUGGAAGAACGAGAUUUUACAGUUCUCAAAUUCGUAUGGCGUCUUCCCUUUUAUCACUGCUAGCAGGCUUAAUUUGUUGGACAUUGUUUGACAUCUGAGAAUAAUGUCUCGUGGUGCGGUUGCAGGGGCUCUUGGGGAUUUGGAUAUUCGGUAUGCCCCAU